UAUCAUGAUUUGAUAUAAGGGAUAGAAUACUUUAGUAAUCCACAAUGACCUGGUGAUAUAAAAGUCUAAUAAUUACAUUAUCUUCCAUAUUCCUACAGAUACCUUGUAACUGGAGAUUCCUGCCUACAGUUACCGUGUAGGGCACUGCAAGUUUGGGUGACCAGGGCCAUCUGUGUCCUGCAUAACUUCAUGAGGAUGGACAUGAGGACCAGGAGGGGAUCUGUAGAUCGCCGCUGUGUGCCAGAGGAGAAGUCUGCUGCUCUGCAGGAUGUUUCAAGGAUGGAGUCCAACAAUGCAGCAAGAGAGGCAAUCUGUCUGCGGGAGAUCAUUACCUCCUACUUCUUCAAAGACGGUGUUGUUCCCUGAGGUCAUCUUGAGUGACCGAGGUCGUGAACUCUGGAACAAGGCACCAUUUCCCAGUCCCGAUUCCAAUCCCCGUCCUGGGUCCAGGCCUGCCAAGCUCCACACAACAGAGGUCAUCGUCCACUGCUUCUGUUGGAAAUACAUGAGAAAAGACAUUGGCUGUGAAGUUGGUAAGUUGUUUGGUAAGUAUAUAGCAUAGGUAUCUGUCUUGUAUUCCAAGUAACAUUUACAAGCAUGUAAAUAUAAUAUUAAAAUAUAAUAUUUUUCCAUUUGUUUGCUGGUAAAUAUUUGAAACUUGCUUGAGUUGGCUGUAAAUUUAUACAUUUGCAUAUUAAAUGUAUUCAUUGCAGUUAAAAUUUUCAAUUGACUGUUCAGUUGACCAGUUAGACUUACUGGUCCUUAACACCUUCUCCGUAGCCAUGAAACUUUUGUGUCCAAUUCCAAAUAAAAUUUUAGGCCAGGGUUGGUAUGGAAUUAGACAUUGGUUUCUAGUUAGUGUUUGCAUAUCUAGAGGUUCUAGAUUUGUGUAUGUAAUAUGUCAGAAGUGUCCCAGAGUCCAUUACACAGCAGGGUUGAGUCAUAUUGCCAUAUUGCUACACCUAUCCAAGUCCCAUCAGGUCAAGCACUACAAAGAUAGAGUAGGGGGUUAAAGGCCUUAAUUAAAAACAAAAUACUCCUCUCGACCUGUACCUUGACGUGGUGAGAGGGCUUUCAACUAAACCAGGCCCAUGUUAUUGAACCCCUGACUGAGACUGGCUGCCUGUCGAGGACAACUUUCUCUCCUCUCCCUCCAGACGAAAUUCUGCAUCUAGUGACGUCUGAUUGCUCAGCAAUCCGCCCACUAAUCCCAUCCCCUCCUCCAUCUCAUUACAUCAUCUAAAGCUACUGUUAUUGUCAUGUUGUCAUUAUCUACUAAUAAAGUUUGCUAGCUGUAUCAUACUGGGCAUAUAAUUACUACGCAGCAUAUAUAAUGCCAAAUGUUUAGUGCUUUUCACACGCAGGUGCAUGAGCCAUGUGCUCAUAGGACUAGCAGCAGCACAAUCAACUUGUA